rnacentral:piRNA from 1 species
UGAAAGCGUGGGCCCAGGAGGGAAC